UCGGACGGGUGAGUAACACGUGGGUAACCUACCUAUAAGACUGGGAUAACUUCGGGAAACCGGAGCUAAUACCGGAUAACAUUUGGAACCGCAUGGUUCUAAAGUGAAAGAUGGUUUUGCUAUCACUUAUAGAUGGACCCGCGCCGUAUUAGCUAGUUGGUAAGGUAACGGCUUACCAAGGCGACGAUACGUAGCCGGCCUGAGAGGGUGAUCGGCCACACUGGAACUGAGACACGGUCCAGACUCCUACGGGAGGCAGCAGUAGGGAAUCUUCCGCAAUGGGCGAAAGCCUGACGGAGCAACGCCGCGUGAGUGAUGAAGGGUUUCGGCUCGUAAAACUCUGUUA
rnacentral:rRNA from 1 species